rnacentral:rRNA from 1 species
AGAGUUUGAUCCUGGCUCAGAUUGAACGCUGGCGGCAUGCCUUACACAUGCAAGUCGAACGGUAACAGGUCUUCGGAUGCUGACGAGUGGCGAACGGGUGAGUAAUACAUCGGAACGUGCCCGAUCGUGGGGGAUAACGAGGCGAAAGCUUUGCUAAUACCGCAUACGAUCUACGGAUGAAAGCGGGGGAUCUUUGGACCUCGCGCGGACGGAGCGGCCGAUGGCAGAUUAGGUAGUUGGUGGGAUAAAAGCUUACCAAGCCGACGAUCUGUAGCUGGUCAGAGAGGAUGAUCAGCCACACUGGGACUGAGACACGGCCCAGACUCCUACGGGAGGCAGCAGUGGGGAAUUUUGGACAAUGGGCGAAAGCCUGAUCCAGCCAUGCCGCGUGCAGGAUGAAGGCCUUCGGGUUGUAAACUGCUUUUGUACGGAACGAAAAGCCUCUUUCUAAUAAAGAGGGGUCAUGACGGUACCGUAAGAAUAAGCACCGGCUAACUACGUGCCAGCAGCCGCGGUAAUACGUAGGGUGCAAGCGUUAAUCGGAAUUACUGGGCGUAAAGCGUGCGCAGGCGGUUUUGUAAGACAGAGGUGAAAUCCCCGGGCUCAACCUGGGAACUGCCUUUGUGACUGCAAGGCUGGAGUGCGGCAGAGGGGGAUGGAAUUCCGCGUGUAGCAGUGAAAUGCGUAGAUAUGCGGAGGA